GAGUUUGAUCCUGGCUCAGAAUGAACGCUGGCGGCGUGCUUAACACAUGCAAGUCGUACGAGAAAUCCUCUGCUUGCAGGGGAGAGUAAAGUGGCGCACGGAUGAGUAUCGCGUGGGUAAUCUACCCUUGAAUUCAGGAUAACAUUUCGAAAGGGGUGCUAAUACUGGAUAACAUCCUGAUGGUUUCGGCCAUAAGGAUCAAAGAUAGCCUCUACAUGUAAGCUAUAGUUCAGGGAUGAGCCCGCGUACCAUCAGCUAGUUGGUGGGGUAAGAGCCUACCAAGGCAACGAUGGUUAGCUGGUCUGAGAGGAUGAUCAGCCACACUGGAACUGAAACACGGUCCAGACUCCUACGGGAGGCAGCAGUGAGGAAUUUUGCGCAAUGGGGGAAACCCUGACGCAGCAACGCCGCGUGAGUGAAGAAGGCUUUCGGGUCGUAAAGCUCUGUCAAGAGGGAAGAAAGUGGGGGAUGGUAAUACUGUUUCCUAUUGACGGUACCUCUGAAGGAAGCACCGGCUAACUCCGUGCCAGCAGCCGCGGUAAUACGGGGGGUGCAAGCGUUAUUCGGAUUUAUUGGGCGUAAAGAGCGCGUAGGCGGUUUAUCAAGUCAGAUGUGAAAGCCCUGGGCUCAACCUGGGAAGUGCAUUUGAAACUAGUAGACUUGAGUAUGGGAGAGGGGAGUGGAAUUCCUGGUGUAGAGGUGAAAUUCGUAGAUAUCAGGAGGAACAC
rnacentral:rRNA from 1 species